rnacentral:rRNA from 1 species
GACAGAGGUCCCGAGCGUUAGACGGAAUCACUGGGCUUAAAGCGUGUGUAGGCGGAAGGGUAAGUCCCUUGUGAAAUCCCACGGCUCAACCGUGGAACUGCUUGGUAUACUGCUUUUCUUGAGCCACUUAGGGGCAACCGGAACAAAUGGUGGAGCGGUGAAAUGCGUAGAUAUCAGGAAGAACACCCGUGGCGAAGGCGGCUCUCUGGGACGGUACUGACGCUGAGACGCGAAAGCGUGGGGAGCGAACAGG